CACAAAUUUCCACCUGCUCACAGGUUGGCUGGCUCAGCCGAGGUGGUGCCCCUGUUCUGAGCCAAGCCCAGGCCAAGUUCAUCUAGUGCCAUGGCCAGAUACAGAUGCUGCCGCAGCCCAAGCCGGAGCAGAUGCCGCCGCCGUAGACGGAGAUGCCAUAGACGAAGGAGGCGGUGCCAUCGGAGACAGAGACGCUGCUGCCGCCGCAGGUACACCCGCAGGUGCCGCAGACACUGAUGGCGGAAGAGCAGAAGAGCAAGUCCACUGAACUCCUGCCACAAACUACCAGACCACAACACCGUCUUGCCACCUCUUGACAAUGUCACCUUGCACUGAAACAGGAGCCUGCUAAGGAACAAUGCCGCCUGUCAAUAAAUGUUAAAAUCAUCCCACUCA